UCCCAGAAUUGGGGAGACCCCUCCCAAAAUUGGGGACCCCUCCCAGAAUUGGGGGGACCCCUCCCAAAAUUGGGGGGACCCCCUUUGGGAGCAACUGCGGCGCCUGGAAAUUGGGGUGACCCGGCUGCUGCUGCGGGGGGGGGCACCCCAAAACCCGGUCCUGAAUGAGCCCGUUUGGAGCCGCCCCCCCCCUCCGCACCCCCCCAGCCCCAGGGAGGAGCCCGAGGUGGGGGAGGAAGAGGAGGAGGAGGAAGAGGAGAGACCCCUGAGCCCCCGAGAGCUGCGGGAGAGGGUCCUGAGAGAGGUGCUGAGCCGCGAGGGACCCCUCCCCACUCACCGCUGAAUUUGGGGGGUCCCUGAGCGCCCCCCCCCGUCCCCCCCACCGGAUGUCAGGGUCCCCCACCCCACCCCGUUGCCAUGGCAACCCAGUAAAUAUUUGCGGCUGUCGCGGUCGCGUUGCCCCCGGCAACGGCCAAACUUCCCAAAACAGCGCGAAACGGCCCAAAACGGGCCCGGGAGGGAGGGGGAAGUGGGGGAGGGGUGGGGGCGCCGCCCGGUGUCCCCCGUGUCACCCACCCGAGGGCGGGGGUCGCACGUGGGUGCCCCUCCCCCACUUUGGGGAUACCCCAGGGACCCCCUCAGAGCCCCCCCCCCCGUUCGUGGUGAUGCCCUGACGUCAUUGCCCGGGACCCCCUGACGUCACACCCCUCUGGCCACGCCCCGGUGGGCACCGCCCGGAGUGACACGGCUGGGACCGGCCCGGCGGAGGGACCCGAACCCGCCCGAAGGGAACCGAACCGGGAGGAGCCGAACCGCUCCGGAAACACCCGAACCAGGAGUGUCCCGCGCUAAUUGACCCAAACCGGGAGGAGCCGAACCUCUCCGGAAACACUCGAACAGUCCCGAAAAAACGGAACCGGGAGCGUCCCGCGCUAAUUGACCCAAACCCGCCUGAGGAACCCGAACCGGGAGGAGCCGAACCGCUCCGAAAACACCCGAACCGGGAGUGUCCCGCUCUAAUUGACCCGAACCGGGAGGAGCCGAACCGUCCCGAAACACCCCAACCGGGAGUGUCCCGCGCUAAUUGACCCGAACCCACCCGAGGGGACCCA